rnacentral:rRNA from 1 species
UACGUAGGGGGCUAGCGUUGUCCGGAUUUAUUGGGCGUAAAGAGCGUGUAGGCGGCCAGGUAGGUCUGCUGUGAAAACUCGAGGCUCAACCUCGAGACGUCGGCGGAAACCAUCUGGCUAGAGUCCGGAAGAGGAGAGUGGAAUUCCUGGUGUAGCGGUGAAAUGCGCAGAUAUCAGGAAGAACACCCGUGGCGAAGGCGGCUCUCUGGGACGGUACUGACGCUGAGACGCGAAAGCGUGGGGAGCUAACAGG